GACGAACGCUGGCGGCGUGCUUAAUACAUGCAAGUCAACUGAACUUGAAGUAGCAAUAUUUCAAGGGAGGUGGCGCACGGGUGAGUAACACGUAGGUGAUCUGCCCUUGGAUGGGGGAUAGUCCGUGGAAACACGGGGUAAUACCGCAUGAGGCCUUGUGGGUAGAGCCAUGAGGUGAAAGGUGCAAUUGCACCGUCUGGGGAUGAGCCUGCGGUCCAUUAGGUAGUUGGCGGGGUAAGGGCCCACCAAGCCUACGAUGGAUAGCCGGCCUGAGAGGGUGUACGGCCACACUGGAACUGAGACACGGUCCAGACUCCUACGGGAGGCAGCAGCUAAGAAUCUUCCGCAAUGGGGGAAACCCUGACGGAGCGACGCCGCGUGGACGAUGGAGGCCGUAAGGUUGUAAAGUCCUUUUCCUGGUGAAGAAUGACUGUGGGAGUGGAAAGCCCAUGGGAUGACGUUAGCCAGGGAAUAAGCCCCGGCCAAUUACGUGCCAGCAGCCGCGGUAAA
rnacentral:rRNA from 1 species